rnacentral:rRNA from 1 species
CAUGCAAGUUGAACGCAACAAAGACACCAGAGCUUGCUCUACCGUUUUUGUUGAGUAGCGAACGGGUGAGUAACGCGUGGGUAACCUGCCUUAUAGCGGGGGAUAACUAUUGGAAACGAUAGCUAAUACCGCAUAACAAUAGAGAUUGCAUAAUCUUUAUUUGAAAGUGCCAACUGGUACACUAUGAGAUGGACCCGCGUUGUAUUAGCUAGUUGGUAGUGUAAUGGACUACCAAGGCGAUGAUACAUAGCCGACCUGAGAGGGUGAUCGGCCACAUUGGGACUGAGACACGGCCCAAACUCCUACGGGAGGCAGCAGUAGGGAAUCUUCGGCAAUGGACGAAAGUCUGACCGAGCAACGCCGCGUGAGUGAAGAAGGUUUUCGGAUCGUAAAACUCUGUUGUUAGAGAAGAAUGUUGAUUAGAGUGGAAAAUUAAUCAAGUGACGGUAUCUAACCAGAAAGGGACGGCUAACUACGUGCCAGCAGCCGCGGUAAUACGUAGGUCCCGAGCGUUGUCCGGAUUU